rnacentral:tRNA from 1 species
GCGCCGGUGGUGUAAAGGCGUAGAGCAUUCCCGCCCGGUCAGAGGGAGGUGCGGGUUCGAGUCCCGCCUUGCGCU